rnacentral:rRNA from 1 species
UACGGAGGGGGCGAGCGUUAUUCGGAAUUAUUGGGCGUAAAGGGCGCGUAGGCGGCCUGGUCAGUCGAAGGUGAAAUCCCCGAGCUCAACUUGGGAACUGCCUUCGAUACUGCCGGGCUUGAGUCCGGGAGGGGAGAGUGGAAUUCCCGGUGUAGCGGUGAAAUGCGCAGAUAUCGGGAGGAACACCUAUGGCGAAGGCAGCUCGCUGGGACGUUACUGACGCUGAGACGCGAAAGCGUGGGGAGCAAACAGG